rnacentral:rRNA from 1 species
AUUGAACGCUGGCGGAAUGCUUUACACAUGCAAGUCGAACGGUAGAGGGGGCAACCCCUCGAGAGUGGCGAACGGGUGAGUAAUAUAUCGGAACGUGCCCAGUCGUGGGGGAUAACGUAGCGAAAGUUACGCUAAUACCGCAUACGAUCUAAGGAUGAAAGCGGGGAUCGCAAGACCUCGCGCGAUUGGAGCGGCCGAUAUCAGAUUAGGUAGUUGGUGGGGUAAAGGCUCACCAAGCCAACGAUCUGUAGCUGGUCUGAGAGGACGACCAGCCACACUGGAACUGAGACACGGUCCAGACUCCUACGGGAGGCAGCAGUGGGGAAUUUUGGACAAUGGACGCAAGUCUGAUCCAGCCAUUCCGCGUGCAGGAUGAAGGCCCUCGGGUUGUAAACUGCUUUUGUACGGAACGAAAAGGUCUCUCCUAAUACGAGGGGCUCAUGACGGUACCGUAAGAAUAAGCACCGGCUAACUACGUGCCAGCAGCCGCCGUAACAC